CACAUUCUCACUACAGCCUCUCUGACACCCUGUAUAAUUAAAAAAAAAAUAUAUAUAUAUAUAAAAAGUAUAUAUAUAUAUAUAUAUAUAUAUAUAUAUAUAUAUAUAUAUAUAUAUAUAUACAUAUACACAGGUUGUCAGAUAGGCUGUAGUGAGAAUGUG